AGCGGAUAUAGCUUAAUAAGGCUAUAGCAUAACCUUGCCAAGGUUGGAAUUGGGUGUUCAAAUCACCUUAUUCGCUUC
rnacentral:tRNA from 1 species